rnacentral:rRNA from 1 species
AACCAAUCCCGACACCACCAGAUAACCCUUAAAUAAUACUGAGUAAUUCUAUAUGAAUAUAGAAGAUUUUAUGUUAAAACUAGUAACAAGAAGAAGAACUUCUCCUACAAUGCAAAUGUAAAUCAGACAGGACACCCCACUGAUAAUUAACACCAAUGAACAAAAAAUAGCAACCCAACAAGAAAACCCUACUACACCGUGCGUUAAACUAACACCAGAGCAUUUCAAGAAAGAUUUAAAGAAAAAGAAGGAACUCGGCAAAUAUUAACCUCGCCUGUUUACCAAAAACAUCGCCUCUUGAAUAAAUAUAAGAGGUCCAGCCUGCCCAGUGACAAUGUUCAACGGCCGCGGUAUCCUAACCGUGCGAAGGUAGCGUAAUCACUUGUUCUUUAAAUAAGGACUAGUAUGAACGGCACCACGAAGGUUACACUGUCUCCUCUUUCUAAUCAGUGAAACUAAUCUCCCCGUGAAGAAGCGGGGAUAAAAAUAUAAGACGAGAAGACCCUAUGGAGCUUUAAACUACAAGGCACUUGCCCCCAUAUAAUCAAAUUCCAGAAAAUCAUUACCACCCAGGCAACAUGACCUUUAGUUUUAGGUUGGGGUGACCGCGGAGCAAAGAAAAACCUCCACAUUGAAAGGAGACCUCUCCUUAGCCAAGAGCCACACCUCUAAGCACCAACAAAAAGACAUUAAUUGACCCAAUAUUUUUGAUCAACGAACCAAGUUACCCUAGGGAUAACAGCGCAAUCCACUUCAAGAGCUCCUAUCGACAAGUGGGUUUACGACCUCGAUGUUGGAUCAGGGUAUCCCGGUGGUGCAGCCGCUACCAAAGGUUCGUUU